CAAAAUCGUGUACAAUCAACAACAACAUCAAUCAACGGCUUCAACCCGAAUCCAACCCAGCAAAGCUGACCCAACAUCUAAUUCUGACCCGACCCUGAUACCUACAUCAACGAUAACACCAACAACUUAAUCCGGCACCCUGAAACCCGGCGAUCCGCCGACCCGAACCCGCGAUAAACACAACAUUAUCCAUCAACAACCAAGGGAGUCCUAAAGUGUCAUUUGCGUGUGAUUGAUGAGCCAUCCGCUUCUAGAAGAGUUUAGAAACUGUCCAGCUGUCUCUUUUAAUGGUAUAAUAUCUCACCAUCAUCCGAUUCAUACAGAGGUAGAAGGUGGAUAUUAAUUCUAUUUUGAAAUUUUGAAAUCCUCUCCUGGAAUUUCUAUCUGAUUUUUCCAUCCCACAUCGAAAGGAAAAAGGGCUGGACUCUAAAGUUUUUCCUAUAUAUACUCUUACUAUUUUCGUUGAAAGGGGAAAAAGGGGAAAAACCCUUUGAGCAAAAAUCAGUAAAUUUUUAUUUUAGUAAAAUUUUAGAAGCCGUCGAUUUGAUCGGAAUUCUCGAAGGACCUAUUUUCGGUGGUGGUGUCUCCCGACGUUAGCUUGAGGUCCUGUUUUGCUGCCCCGAAGAAGGUAAACUUCUUUCUACACAUUCUUUAUGACGUUCUUUUUUUCAUCUCUUUCUCCGUAUUGAUAGGCGUAUAGUCGUAAUCAAAGUGGCUGUGGGACUGUUUGCUGUAGUUGGCUUCGAUGGCCGUAGGAUUUGUCUGAAGUGUUUGGCGUUAUGUCAUUUGAUGAGCCAUUAUUUUACAUUUUUGUUUUCAUUACUACUUUUGUAAUCUUUGGUUUGAUGGCAAUAGUACUCCGAUCAUGGAUACCUUUUAAAUAAGUUUACAAUAUGCUUAUGUAGUAUCUACAUUGCAACUCAUCAUAUGCUCUUUGGUAUCAAACAUGUUAUUUACACUUAAGUGCAAACAAAGUACUUAAGUGCAAACAAAGUUUACAUCAAGACAUUUCUUGCUUAAUAUGUUGUUCGACUAUCUGAAUGCACCUUUGUUCUUCUUAUUAGCCUUUUCUACAUUUUUCUUUUCCAGCGACCGAGCAUGAUUAAGCUCGUUCUAUGCUUUCUUUCCUUUAAAUGGUUGUAGGUUACGUAUUUUAUUUUCUUAUUCCUUGACCAUGUGGGGUUUUCCGAAUGGACUUCCCUUCCUUUGCAUUUCUAAGAGGACAAUGAGGCGCCUCUUUUCGAGUCAAACUUUGAGGGAAAAGUUUUUAAAAGUUGACCAUGUGGCAUACCGAAUGCAAUGCAAGGAGUCGAAAGAAGAAGAAAUGGACUAAAGUCUCAUCCUUGAAGCAGCUAAGAUACUUGAAAGUCCUAUUUCUUCAUUUAUUCAUUUGUAUUAUUGUCUUUAUUUAUUUAUUUCAUUGUUUAUUCAUUUGGGCCUCGAAACCAAAGUUGUAAAUUUAAUACAGGUGGAGCAGAUUUUGGGUCAAUGGGCCUGAAAAAAUAGUUUAGACAGGUUAUGGGCUAAGGCCCAACAUUUAGAUUACGACAGGUGCAAGUGGGUCAAAAACUUAAUUAGAUUAAGAUAGGGUCUAUUGAUUUGGGCCCAAUGGUCUAAGUCCUUUAUUUCCUCCCCUUCCCCUUUUACAUGCUUUGUUAUUAAUUUAUUUAGACUUAGUUAAAAUUUCUACUAAGUCGUCCAAAUUUAUUUUACAUAAGCCUUUUCCUAAAAUCAAUCACUUAUCAACAAUCAAUUUUUUUGAAGUUAGUCAAAAGAUAUUUUCAAACAGUUCGGAUAACUGUAAGUUAGCGGACGUUUUAGGUGCCUUAAAACCUUCCUAAAAUGUUAAUGGGAACUGCUUACCUAGAAUUUCUAACUUAAAUGAUUUUUCUAUUUUGAACCACCUAAAUACUUUACAAAGAUUUUCUCAAUCUCAAAAGUCAAAAUUUUUGUAAAACAGAAAUGACGACUUUGUUGGGGAUUCUAAUUAAGUUUUAACCAAAUGUUUGACUUUAUCUUUGAUUAACUGUUUAAAUUGCUUACAUGUUUAUAUGUUUUGAUUUUGCAGAAUUUAAUUAUUGCAUCUCAUACAUAGCAUAAUCUCACAUUUGUUAUUAAUUUAUUUUGGGGUUUCAUAGAUGUCUCGAUCCUUGUUGUUCAACUUCAAAUGAAGUGGUAGAAAUACGAUGAUUUAUUAGCACGUGAGGCGUCUGAUGGAUAUUUGUAUUUUCAAAUUCAAGUCGUUCGCUUGGGAACCUGGUUCAAAUUCACUCUAGAUACCUAGGAUAACGCAAAACCAAAAUCUUAUAUUAGGCAUGAGCCUAGGACGACCCAAUACCCGAGGGGGUAUUGCGCCCAUUAGAAAACUUGUCCUGUGUCAAUCGACCUUGAGUCAAUUACAGACGAAUUAUAUUUAUAUAUUGAAGAAAUAUAUGCUAUUUAAUCCAAUCCAUUAUCCUUCGGGGGUAGGGCGAUGGCCGAUAGAAGAGCAUUCAGGAACUGGUAUUUCCUAUCCCUUGCAUGGGAUAUUGUUCUUUUUCUCAUGUUAUUUUUCCUUUCCCUAAAAAUUGUAUUUUUUUUUUUGCAACGUUUGUAGGUAUUUAUGUCAUUUAUGUAUACCUAUAAAGGUUUUUUUGGGGAUAAUGGAUUGGUUUUAAAAAGAAUAUACUUCCUUCAAAUAUGUUAGGCCAACCUUUGGCUCAAAAGGGUCACCCAAUUAGGAUGCACGUUUAUUUUCCAUAGAACAUCUCUAGGUGGAAUUAUACUCCACUAUACAAAAGUCCGGCCAAACAUACUUCAAGUCUUCCAAGUUUCUCAGAAAAGUCCGCAGUGAUUCUUAAAACUUACAAAAUGAUUGCUCUCAUUUUAGGAAAACUGACUUUGGAAUCAGAAAAAGUCAUUAUAGUUUCGAAUUACGUAGGGCUUGCUUUCUCCUUUGUGAGAUACGUAGGCAAUCUUUUGGCCCGACCUAUGUCUUUAAAAAUUUUGUCGUCAUUCAUUUUUUUGAAAGAAGUAAUAAGGUCGAAAAGUAGAAAAGUUGAGCCUUCUUGAUAAAUUCCAUCUAUCCAUAUCAUUGAGUAAAAUCUUAUUCAUUGAAAUUCUCGAGUCAGUAUUACUUCAUGGAUCAAUUCGCUUGAGAUGAGAAACAACUCUAUGUGUUUACUUUCGACCUUAUCAUCUUACUUUGCUUAUUACUAAUGAAAUCUAACACGAUAGCCUUUGAAUUAUUUUUACUUUGCAGCUAAUAGAAAUUACUCUGUGUUGGCACAAAAUGGUCCUGCUUCAACAGAUCAAAAUGAAAGAGAUCCCCUUCUUGACUAUAGCUUUGUUACAAGAAAAGAAAAAUGACUAGUAGUAAAAUUGGACUCUACCAAUCAUUUUUCAAAACCUGUAAGCGAUGGUCUUGAAAAUGGAAUAAAAAAAAUGUGAGGAAAGAAUUUUUCAAGACAACUGAGAUCAUGGAAGAUUAAUUAGAGGAAAUAUUGUUGAAUUGAACCUCCACUCCACUCAUGAUUCAUCACACGUCUUGUAACAGUAACUUAAAACCUGCCAUUGUCAUGUCAUAACAAGAAGCAAGAUAAUGAUAACCCUAAAAUGGUCAACAGAAGAGUCAAAAGAGUUCGAGAAUCAAAGAAGCCUAAUUUAGAGAAAAUCGAGGUGGUUAACUAGGAAGACGAUGACUAAAGGAAUUGGACAUUUGAUCCUUCGUUCUAUCAAAACAAAUGCAAUGAAAAUGUCAUGUCAUCCAUAGAAGUGCUUAUUUCUAUCCUAGUAAGAUGGAUAAGAGUAUUUAGGGCUCUAUUUUGUGAAAAUUUUGACUUUGGAGAGUCGUCAUUGAAUUUUGAAAAGGAAUUAAGAAAACUUUUAUAAAGUACUUAGAUGAUUCGACACAAGAAAAUUAUUUAAGUUAGAGAUUCUAGGUAAGUGGUUCCUAUUAACAUUUUAGAAAGGUUUUAAGGCACCUAAAAUGUCCGCUAACUCACGGUUGUCCGA
rnacentral:lncRNA from 1 species